ACGCACGCUGGCGGCAGGCCUCACCCAUGCAAGUCGAGCGGACCUUUCGGGGUCAGCGGCGGACGGGUGAGUAACGCGUGGGAAUAUGCCCUUCUCUACGGAAUAGUCCUGGGAAACUGGGGGUAAUACCGUAUACGCCCUUUGGGGGAAAGAUUUAUCGGGGAAGGAUUAGCCCGCGUUGGAUUAGGUAGUUGGUGGGGUAAUGGCCUACCAAGCCGACGAUCCAUAGCUGGUUUGAGAGGAUGAUCAGCCACACUGGGACUGAGACACGGCCCAGACUCCUACGGGAGGCAGCAGUGGGGAAUCUUAGACAAUGGGGGCAACCCUGAUCUAGCCAUGCCGCGUGAGUGAUGAAGGCCUUAGGGUUGUAAAGCUCUUUCAGCUGGGAAGAUAAUGACGGUACCAGCAGAAGAAGCCCCGGCUAACUCCGUG
rnacentral:rRNA from 1 species